rnacentral:lncRNA from 1 species
UUCAUGUAUCAAAAUAUCAUGUACUUUCCUUACCAUUUCAUUUAACCAUCUAAAUUUUAUAAUUCAUCCUUCACUACCCAAAGUAAUAUACAUAUUCAAGUGACUAAAUAACACCCAUGUACAUGCCACCUUUACCCAAAAGAAAAAUAUAUAUCACCAAGUUUGUGUUGGAGUCGGAAUUAUUCUGGAUGCUGAGCCGGGACACUUGACUUCUACUAACCUGCGCACGGAAACAACCGUACGCUGAGUAUGGAUAUACUCAGUGGUAUUACUAUAACUCAAGACUAUUUAACAUUAAUAAAUUACAAACAUCAACCAUAAAUUCUAUAAUUAUUUAAACUACGUUUAUAUAUAAUUAUUUUACUUCAUAAAUCUUAAAUUCAUAAUUCAUUUUUCUCAUACUAACUCAAUUCAUAAUUUAGUUCAUACAUUCUUUCUCGUACUUUUCAAUAGUACUAAAACAAAUAAUCUCAUUUUCAAAAUUUCAUUUCAAUUAUUUACCCUAUUAACAAAGCUCGGACUAUGACAGAUACACGGAUUUCCACCCAAACACACCAGAAUAUCCAACCCAAACACACCCGGAAUAUUGUAAAUCCUCCAUAACACACCGGUAUAAUAUAUCCUCCCAAACACACCAAUAAUGCAUUAAAUGCCUAUUCGGAUAAACCGAAGUAUAUAAUAACAGAAACAUCUUCUCGGCCGAACUACAAUCUCUUCAUCACAUCACAAAUCCAAUGGCAUGCCAUUUGUAUCGAAUCUAGUCCGACAAGUUAAUAGGGUAUUAUUUUACUUUUUCUAAUUUCAAUUUAAUUUACACAAAAAUUUUCAAUACUCAUUCAAUUUAAAUAUCUAUUAUCUUAAUUCAUAUACAAAUUAAUUUUCACACAAGUGUAUACCGUCAACACCCUACAAUUGUCACCAUUUAUUUAUUUUUCAAUCAAUACACUUUUCAAAUAAUCACAUACUUACCUCAAGCCUUACUUACCAUACAUAAUUAAAAUUUCAGCAAUCAAUAAUAAUUAAAAUUUGAAUUAUAGUAAUACACACCGUAAUUCUCCCGUUUUAGUCCUCGAUGACUUUCUCCUUUCCUUUCGAUAUUGAUGCUUCAAGUUCUUUGUUGGCUACGAAAAUAAUAGUAAUUUACAUUAUUAUUUACAGCACUAAUUAUAAUAAAUAAUUAAAUUUCUAAACAACUCCUACCUUAUUCCCAAUUUAAUCCUAACUAAACUUAAUUAUUUUCUUAAUCCAAUUCACUCUCUUUUUCUAUUCAAAUAUUGUCUAAACUUAUAUUUAACUAUAAAAUUUCCAGCAUAUUUCCCUAAUUUCGAAAUUUCUUCAAUUUAGUCCCUACAACAUAAAACUUAUAGCCUAGUUUACAAUUUAAUCCCUUAAUCAAUUCUAACUUAGAAUUUAUUCAAUUAAAUCCCUAAUUCCAUAAUUUUUCCAACAUGAACCCUACUUGGAAACAUAUGAACUCUUGAACUAUCAACUUAAUUUCAUCAAAAUCUUAUUUCAAAGCUCCUAAAACAUCAAAAUUAAGAGAAAAGGACUUAAUUGACUUACCUUUUAAAGCUUCAAACCUUAAAACCCUAGUUUUUCCUUUCCCUUUUUUUUCUUUCUUUUUAUUUCCCUGUUUCGAAAUGCUUCUGUUCUGUUUCUUCUUCUUUGUUUCUUUUGUCUUUCUUUUUAUUCUUUUAUUAUUUCAUUUAUUUUACUUAUUUAUUUUAUCAUUUAACUAAUAUAUAUUAUUAUUAAUUUAAUAACAAUAUAAUUAACACAUUUGUAUACAUGUAUCUUUGUAUAUUUGUACACUAUUAUUACCAUCCAUUUGUCUUUCUUUUAUUUAUUUAACAAAUAAAAAUCUUAUAAUAUUAAUAUUUAAUUAAUAAAUAUCUUUAACUUAAAAUUUAAGUAAAUACAUAAUUAUAAUACAAAUGUAUAUAUUCAUAUUAUUACAAAUGUCAUUAUUUAAUUUGUUUUUCAUACCAAAAAUCUUAUAAUUUAAUUAUUUAAUUAACAAAUAUCUUUAUACUUAAAUUAUAAGAAAUUAAAUAUUUAAAUUACAAAUGUACCCAUACAAUUCUUACACAUGUAUAUUUUAUUACCAUACAAUUGUCUUCUAUUUAAUUUAUUUAUAAUAUAUUAUCAAUUAAAUAAUCAUAACAAUUUAAUAUAAAACCAUAAUAAUAAUCAUUAUAAUAUAUAAAACCUAAAAAAAAUCUUUGAUUUUAUUUCACCAAUAUGCCACCUCAUUUGUAGUCAAUGGCUUAAUUUCCAUUUUAAUCCUUUUUAUUUUCUAUUGCUUUAUAAUUAAACUUUUACCCUUUAUUCAAUUUAAUCCUUUUUAUUACUUACUCUAAAUUAAGCUAAAUUCACUUAAUUAGAUCCUAAUUAGACACACCACUAGGCUCAUAAAUAUUUUUAAUAAUUAUUUUCGAACUUAUUUCACGAAGACGGAGGCCCUAUAACUCACUUUUCCGGUGCCCGUGAAUUUCAGGUCAUUACAUGUGUGGUCAAUAUCUAAGCUAUUUUCCAAGCCUUGGUCAACCUUAAUCUCUUACACACUUAUACAAAAUCAAAAGCAUAUAACAUAGUAUUCAUUUAAUGAUUAAACAUUCUCAAUUAAACUACAAACAUAGCAUUUGUAUGUCAUCAUACAUGUGUCUCUCAUACUCAUUUUACCUUGUCUAUUGUGGUACCACUUAUAUUUUAUACCAUGAUUAUCAUCUUACCAAAUAUUUUCAACUUAAUCAUCAAGCAUUCAUAUUUAAAACUAGAUCAAAUCUUUAUAAAAUACCACAUUUCAGAUGCGCAGAAUAAAAUACAUGCCUUAGACAUUUCAAUCCAACUUCAUACCCAACAAGCAUCAUAUUGAAACUAGUCAUAUAUAUACAUGUCAUGAUAUGUAUCGUUCUCAUACUGUUUUCUUAUAAACAUAUAUCAUUUAUUUUCCUCCUCCUCCUCUCCAUUCCACAUCCUUAAUGUAUAUAACAUUCUUGUAAGUAAGAUUUCACAAUUUACUUAUUAAUGCUCACAUCAAGCUGUUCACACGAGUCAUAGUCACUCAAUUAUUUAUAAUUCGAGCUACAGAGCUCCAAAUCAAGAUCCGUAAAUUUUCCCUGAAACUAGACUCACAUAUCAUUCCAUCAUAAAAUUUUCAAAAUUUUUAGUUUAGCCAAUUAGUACAGUUUAUUCAUUUAAGUUUCCCCUAUUUCACUAUCUGACAGUUCUGACCUCUCUUCACUAAAAAUUAAUUAUAUCACAGUACAGAACUCGGAUAAUGUUCUCGUUCAUUUCUAUUGAAAAUAGACUCAUUAAGAAUUCUAAGCAUAUAAAUUUGAGCCUAUAAUUAAUUUUCUCCAAUUUUUGACGAUUUUCCAAAGUCAAAACAGGGGAACCCGAAUUCAUUCUGACCUUGUCUCACAAAAUUCAUUAUAUCUCAUAAUUUACAAUUCAAUUGCUUACACGUUUCUUCUAUGAGAAACUAGACUCAAUAAGCUUUAAAUUCAUAUAUUAUUCAUCCUCUAAUUCGAUUUUUAAAAUUUAUGGUGAUUUUUCAAAGUUAACCUACUGCUGCUGUCCAAAGCUAUUUUAGUUCAAGAUGUUUAUUACCAUUUUUCCUCUAAAUUUCACAGGUCAUACAAUUCAGUCCUUGCUCAAUUAGCCCAUCUAUUAAGCUAAUUUAUCUCAAUUAACAUUUUAUUCCAUCAUUCUAAACUAUUACACAACCUUUGAAAAUCAUAAUUUUAACACUAAACCUUAAUUCACAACUUUUUCACAAUUAGGUCCUAAAAUCAAUUUCGAUUGAAUUUACUUGAUAAAAUUAUCAAACAACAAAAUCAAAGCUUAAAAUUCAUUUUAUUUCAUCAUAAACAGCCAACACUUAUCAAUGAUAGCUUUUAAUUUUGUCCAUAAAAUCAAAAACUAAUGAAUUAAACACUUGGACCUAAUUGUAAAAGUCACAAAACAUAAAAAUCUCAAAGAAAAGGGAAAUAAUUGAACUCACAUAUGUCAAAGUAUGAAAAACCAGCAGCUUUCAGACCUCCCAU